GAAAAACCGCCCUCAUGAUUCUAUUACCUCUACCUGGUCCGGCACUUUACAAGUGGAGAUUAUUACAAUUCAGGAUGAGAUUUUAGAUCAUCUCUCCUGCCAAGGAAGUAGUGAAGCUGAUGAGAAGUGAGCACCUUUGUGUUUACUUUGAAGGCCAGAACCCUGCAGUAUAACCUCAACCUUAGUGCAAGUGAUGCUGGGAAAUAUCUUCCUUCAUAACCACAAGGAGAA
rnacentral:lncRNA from 1 species